CAAGGAUCUAAUAGCCCUCAAAAGUAUGCUACCAGCUUGCUCUAUCUCUCAUAUCAAAAUAGAACAAAAUCAAGCUGCAGACUGGCUUUCUAAAUAUGCUCUAACAGGUAGUUUUUGUUUGGCCUUGGAGGAUAUGAUUCUAUGUUCCUUAGCUUAAAUUUUGCAGAAUGACAAAUUUCACAAUGCUCUUUUCAUCCAGUAAGCCAGCAUAUAUGCCUUUCAUUACCAAUCUUCAUUCAUGUAGGCAUGUUGUUCUCUUUAAGAAAUAGGUUUGUAUCAUGGCAUGCUCUAUGGCACAUCACA
rnacentral:lncRNA from 1 species